GACGAACGCUGGCGGCGUGCUUAACACAUGCAAGUCGAACGAAGAGCGAUGGAAGCUUGCUUCUAUCAAUCUUAGCGGCGAACGGGUGAGUAACGCGUAAUCAACCUGCCCUUCAGAGGGGGACAACAGUUGGAAACGACUGCUAAUACCGCAUACGAUCUAAUCUCGGCAUCGAGGAUAGAUGAAAGGUGGCCUCUACAUGUAAGCUAUCACUGAAGGAGGGGAUUGCGUCUGAUUAGCUAGUUGGAGGGGUAACGGCCCACCAAGGCGAUGAUCAGUAGCCGGUCUGAGAGGAUGAACGGCCACAUUGGGACUGAGACACGGCCCAGACUCCUACGGGAGGCAGCAGUGGGGAAUCUUCCGCAAUGGACGAAAGUCUGACGGAGCAACGCCGCGUGAGUGAUGACGGCCUUCGGGUUGUAAAGCUCUGUUAAUCGGGACGAAAGGCCUUCUUGCAAAUAGUGAGAAGGAUUGACGGUACCGGAAUAGAAAGCCACGGCUAACUACGUG
rnacentral:rRNA from 1 species